AGAGUUUGAUCAUGGCUCAGGACGAACGCUGGCGGCGUGCUUAACACAUGCAAGUCGAGCGGAAAGGCUCCUUCGGGGGUACUCGAGCGGCGAACGGGUGAGUAACACGUGAGUAAUCUGCCCUUCACUUGGGGAUAACCUCCGGAAACGGUGGCUAAUACCCGAUACGACCAACCUACGCAUGUGGUGUUGGUGGAAAGUUUUUCGGUGGGGGAUGUGCUCGCGGCCUAUCAGCUUGUUGGUGGGGUAAUGGCCUACCAAGCCUGCGAUCGGUAGCUGGUCUGAGAGGAUGAUCAGCCACACUGGGACUGAGACACGGCCCAGACUCCUACGGGAGGCAGCAGUGGGGAAUUUUGGACAAUGGGGGCAACCCUGAUCCAGCCAUGCCGCGUGCGGGAAGAAGGCCUUCGGGUUGUAAACCGCUUUUAGCUGGGAAGAAAAGGCGCGGGCUAAUACCCGGCGUUUUUGACGGUACCGGCGGAAUCAGCACCGGCUAACUACGUGCCAGCAGCGGCGGUAAUAC
rnacentral:rRNA from 1 species